rnacentral:rRNA from 1 species
ACGGGAGGCAGCAGUGGGGAAUAUUGCACAAUGGGCGAAAGCCUGAUGCAGCGACGCCGCGUGAGUGAAGAAGUAUUUCGGUAUGUAAAGCUCUAUCAGCAGGGAAGAAAAUGACGGUACCUGACUAAGAAGCCCCGGCUAACUACGUGCCAGCAGCCGCGGUAAUACGUAGGGGGCAAGCGUUAUCCGGAUUUACUGGGUGUAAAGGGAGUGUAGGUGGCAAGACAAGUCAGAAGUGAAAAUCCGGGGCUCAACCCCGGAACUGCUUUUGAAACUGUCUAGCUAGAGUGCAGGAGAGGUAAGUGGAAUUCCUAGUGUAGCGGUGAAAUGCGUAGAUAUUAGGAGGAACACCAGUGGCGAAGGCGGCUUACUGGACUGUAACUGACACUGAGGCUCGAAAGCGUGGGGAGCAAACAGGAUUAGAUACCCUGGUA